rnacentral:rRNA from 1 species
GAUGAACGCUGGCGGCGUGCCUAAUACAUGCAAGUCGAGCGAACAGACGAGGAGCUUGCUCCUCUGACGUUAGCGGCGGACGGGUGAGUAACACGUGGAUAACCUACCUAUAAGACUGGGAUAACUUCGGGAAACCGGAGCUAAUACCGGAUAAUCUAUUGAACCGCAUGGUUCAAUAGUGAAAGACGGUUUUGCUGUCACUUAUAGAUGGAUCCGCGCCGCAUUAGCUAGUUGGUAAGGUAACGGCUUACCAAGGCAACGAUGCGUAGCCGACCUGAGAGGGUGAUCGGCCACAGUGGAACUGAGACACGGUCCAGACUCCUACGGGAGGCAGCAGUAGGGAAUCGUACGCAAUGGGCGAAGGCCGGACGGAGCAACGCCGCGGGAGUGAUGAAGGCCUUCGGAUCGUAAAACUCUGUUAUUAGGGAAGAACAAAUGUGUAAGUAACUAUGCACGUCUUGACGGUACCUGAUCAGAAAGCCACGGCUAACUACGUG